ACAGGAUUAGAUACCCUGGUAGUCCACGCCGUAAACGAUGUCGACUUGGAGGUUGUUCCCUUGAGGAGUGGCUUCCGGAGCUAACGCGUUAAGUCGACCGCCUGGGGAGUACGGCCGCAAGGUUAAAACUCAAAUGAAUUGACGGGGGCCCGCACAAGCGGUGGAGCAUGUGGUUUAAUUCGAUGCAACGCGAAGAACCUUACCUACUCUUGACAUCCACGGAAUUCGGCAGAGAUGCCUUAGUGCCUUCGGGAACCGUGAGACAGGUGCUGCAUGGCUGUCGUCAGCUCGUGUUGUGAAAUGUUGGGUUAAGUCCCGCAACGAGCGCAACCCUUAUCCUUUGUUGCCAGCGAUUCGGUCGGGAACUCAAAGGAGACUGCCGGUGAUAAACCGGAGGAAGGUGGGGAUGACGUCAAGUCAUCAUGGCCCUUACGAGUAGGGCUACACACGUGCUACAAUGGCGCAUACAAAGAGAAGCGACCUCGCGAGAGCAAGCGGACCUCAUAAAGUGCGUCGUAGUCCGGAUCGGAGUCUGCAACUCGACUCCGUGAAGUCGGAAUCGCUAGUAAUCGUGGAUCAGAAUGCCACGGUGAAUACGUUCCCGGGCCUUGUACACACCGCCCGUCACACCAUGGGAGUGGGUUGCAAAAGAAGUAGGUAGCUUAACCUUCGGGAGGGCGCUUACCACUUUGUGAUUCAUGACUGGGGUGAAGUCGUAACAAGGUAACCAAGGGC
rnacentral:rRNA from 1 species